UGCUGAUGUCAGCCUGUGGCAGUUGGUGACUAUCUUGCUCUCAUAAAGGCAGAGCCAUGUGAAGAUGACACCAGUGGCAGAGCCCAGAGGUGGGGAAGGAUGACUUCUGCUGAUGUCACUGAGCACCAGGUACAGCCCUGCCUGAAGCUAUCUCCCUGUGGAUGUCUCAGUUAGGCUGUCUGCUGCAUGAGAAUGGAGACCUGCCUGCUUCACUCCCUGCUGUGCCCGGUAUAUGGAACCCGCCCAACACACAGUAGGACCUCAGCGAAUGUGUGACGUGUGUGUGAUCACUGUAGGCCACAGACAAAGGUCUUCCCAGCAGUGAUGAAACCCUGUGACAGAUCCUGUCCACAGCACCCUGCUCCUCCGAUCCUUACCCCAGGCUUUCCCAUGGGGUGUGACCCCGCAUGGGGUGCAGUCCCCUCCUCCAGUCUGACGUCAGGAAUCGUGGAGCCGUUCUUGGAGCAGAGAAUUGAGUGACUUUCUCAAGUGCACGUUGACACUCCGAAUGUUUCUGCAGGAACACAGAGGUUCAGUAGGUCUCAUGAAUGUCUUUCAAGCCUGGUAUUCUCUAGAGAUGUCUCCAUGCCGGUAUUCUCCAUUGUAGCGGAACAACUCUCAUCAAUAUGUUCGCAUCUCUCCUCAAUCCGUGCAGCCAACUUUUCUGCCAGCUUCUCUUCGUGUCUCCCAUAAAGUCGACGUCAACAGGACUGGGCAAGUCUGAAAGUACCUCGGAGCCUCUCCAGUAAGCUGAUGACAGGCAGAUCUUCCACUCUCUGCCCUGUCAGGUUCUGGAAACUUACCCGUGAACUUAGGUCUUUGGGCAGCAGCAUUAUCUCGAACUUACACAGCGUCCCGAACAAAAGACCUAAGCCAAACUCCACAAAGGGCGGCAGCCCCUCCAUCACACUGAUCCACCCACAGAAUUCUGCCCAGUUACCUUGGAUCCACCAGCCACAACAAGCCUCGCGGUACACACCAAGAUUCCACCUAGAAU